rnacentral:rRNA from 1 species
UACAGAGGUGGCAAGCGUUGUUCGGAAUUACUGGGCGUAAAGGGCGCGUAGGCGGUCUUGUAAGUCUCGUGUGAAAUCCCUCGGCUUAACUGAGGAACUGCACGGGAUACUGCAUGACUUGAGAUCGGGAGAGGUAAGCGGAAUUCCUGGUGUAGCGGUGAAAUGCGUAGAUAUCAGGAGGAACACCUGUGGUGUAGACAGCUUACUGGACCACUUCUGACGCUGAGACACGAAAGCGUGGGUAGCAAACAGG